GAAUCAACGCUGGCGGCGUGCCUCAGACAUGCAAGUCGAACGAGAAAGUUCCCUUCGGGGAAUGAGUAAAGUGGCGCACGAGUGAGUAACACGUAGGUAAUCUACCUUCGGGUGGGGAAUAACCCAGGGAAACUUGGGCUAACACCGCAUAAUGCAGCGGCACCACAUGGUGACAGUUGUUAAAGCGGGGGAUUUUUAGGACCUCGCGCCUGAAGAGGAGCCUGCGGCGGAUUAGCUUGUUGGUAAGGUAACGGCUUACCAAGGCGACGAUCCGUAGCCGGCCUGAGAGGGCGGUCGGCCACACUGACACUGACAUACGGGUCAGACUCCUACGGGAGGCAGCAGUCGGGAAUUUUGGGCAAUGGGCGAAAGCCUGACCCAGCAACGCCGC
rnacentral:rRNA from 1 species